rnacentral:rRNA from 1 species
CCUACGGGAGGCAGCAGUGGGGAAUUUUGGACAAUGGGCGAAAGCCUGAUCCAGCAAUGCCGCGUGUGUGAAGAAGGCCUUCGGGUUGUAAAGCACUUUUGUGAACCGUGCGGUACCUGAAGAAUAAGCACCGGCUAACUACGUGCCAGCAGCCGCGGUAAUACGUAGGGUGCAAGCGUUAAUCGGAAUUACUGGGCGUAAAGCGUGCGCAGGCGGUUAUACAAGACAGAUGUGAAAUCCCCGGGCUCAACCUGGGAACUGCAUUUGUGACUGUAUGGCUAGAAUCUGGCAGAGGGGGGUAGAAUUCCACGUGUAGCAGUGAAAUGCGUAGAUAUGUGGAGGAAUACCGAUGGCGAAGGCAGCCCCCUGGGCUAAAUUGACGCUCAUGCACGAAAGCGUGGGGAGCAAACAGGAUUAGAUACCCUUGUAGUC